AGAGUUUGAUCCUGGCUCAGGAUGAACGCUAGCGGCAGGCCUAAUACAUGCAAGUCGAACGGACUGGAGUAGCAAUACUUCAGUUAGUGGCGCACGGGUGCGUAACGCGUAUGCAACCUACCUUUUAUUGGGGGAUAGCCCGAAGAAAUUCGGAUUAAUACCGCAUAAUAUCAUUUGAGGGCAUCUGAGGAUGAUUAAAGCUACGGCGAUAAAAGAUGGGCAUGCGUGUCAUUAGCUAGUUGGUUGAGGUAACGGCUCACCAAGGCGACGAUGACUAGGGGUUCUGAGAGGAUGAUCCCCCACACUGGUACUGAGAUACGGACCAGACUCCUACGGGAGGCAGCAGUAGGGAAUAUUGGGCAAUGGCGGAAACGCUGACCCAGCCAUGCCGCGUGCAGGAUGAAGGCCUUCUGGGUUGUAAACUGCUUUUAUCUAGGAAGAAAAUACUCUUGCGAGAGGAACUGACGGUACUAGAUGAAUAAGCACCGGCUAACUCCGUGCCAGCAGCCGCGGUAAUACGGAGGGUGCAAGCGUUGUCCGGAUUUAUUGGGUUUAAAGGGUGCGUAGGCGGCUUCAUAAGUCCGUGGUGAAAGCCAACAGCUCAACUGUUGAACUGCCAUGGAUACUGUGAGGCUUGAGUACAGACGAGGUAGGCGGAAUGGAUCGUGUAGCGGUGAAAUGCAUAGAUACGAUCCAGAACUCCGAUUGCGAAGGCAGCUUACUAGGCUGUAACUGACGCUGAGGCACGAAAGCGUGGGGAGCGAACAGGAUUAGAUACCCUAGUAGUCC
rnacentral:rRNA from 1 species